UUUGGGGUUUAUAAAAGACGUUGAGGGAGGUGAGAAGGGGACAUUUUUCCCCCCCUUAAUUUGUAACCCGUAUGCCUCACCAACAUAACUUCAAACCUGCUAAAUUCAAGCCAAUUCCUCCGAUUCUCAGCUGACCUUCUUGUCUACUUCAUUUGUAACUUGCUUGACUAUCUCCUUCCUUCCAUCUCCACCAAAAAUCAAGUUUGUUUGAGGCUUACUUCAGGUAGAACUCCACCGGAGAACCCAGUGAUUCUCAACGGCGAUUCGUCAUUCCGGUGAGUGUCACCAUUCACCAUCACCCUUAUUCAACUUCCCUUGGACCAACUAGUGGUUGGGGCGUUGGAACACCAAAGAAGCCGAAUUGAAGAACACCCAUCUUAGGGUUUCGUUGGGUGCGAGCCAAUUUGAGGGCCUUCCCGGCCAAAUUGGACUCGGCCCCAGGAGGUGAUAGAACGUGAUGCCUUGACUAUCGUGCUAAGGUGCAUUAGCGUGGGUUCCAGGCACUGAACUUACAGGUGACAGCUUGAGUAGACUUCGAGACGGUCGUAGGUGGGGGUAGCAGCACGGUAUCAGAGACUUGGAGCGUUAGGUUACCCUUGAUUCACUCAUGUACUUUUUAUUUUUGGGACUUUCUUUUGAGCAUCUUGAACUUGUUUUUGUUCUGGCGAAGGUUGUACUUCUUUUUGAAAUGUACAUAUUUGCAAAUGUCAAGUAGUGAACUUAGUUAUCUUCAAAUUAAAUUGGGUUAUCAUUUAAAGUA